rnacentral:rRNA from 1 species
UACGAAGGGGGCUAGCGUUGUUCGGAUUUACUGGGCGUAAAGCGCACGCAGGCGGAUUGUUAAGUCAGGGGUGAAAUCCCGGAGCUCAACUCCGGGACUGCCUUUGAUACUGAAGAUCUUGAGUUCGGGAGAGGUGAGUGGAACUGCGAGUGUAGAGGUGAAAUUCGUAGAUAUUCGCAAGAACACCAGUGGCGAAGGCGGCUCACUGGCCCGAUACUGACGCUGAGGCACGAAAGCGUGGGGAGCAAACAGG